rnacentral:rRNA from 1 species
UAGGGAAUCUUCGGCAAUGGGGGGAACCCUGACCGAGCAACGCCGCGUGAGUGAAGAAGGUUUUCGGAUCGUAAAGCUCUGUUGUUAAGGAAGAACGAGUGUGAGAAUGGAAAGUUCAUGCUGUGACGGUACUUAACCAGAAAGGGACGGCUAACUACGUGCCAGCAGCCGCGGUAAUACGUAGGUCCCGAGCGUUGUCCGGAUUUAUUGGGCGUAAAGCGAGCGCAGGCGGUUAGAAAAGUCUGAAGUGAAAGGCAGUGGCUCAACCAUUGUAGGCUUUGGAAACUGUUUAACUUGAGUGCAGAAGGGGGGAGUGGAAUUCCAUGUGUAGCGGUGAAAUGCGUAGAUAUAUGGAGGAACACCGGUGGCGAAAGCGGCUCUCUGGUCUGUAACUGACGCUGAGGCUCGAAAGCGGGGGGAGCGAACAGG